rnacentral:rRNA from 1 species
GACGAACGCUGGCGGCGUGCUUAACACAUGCAAGUCGAACGAAGUGGCGAACGGGUGAGUAACGCGUAAUCAACCUGCCCUUCAGAGGGGGACAACAGUUGUAAACGACUGCUAAUACCGCAUACUGAAGGAGGGGAUUGCGUGUGAUUAGCUAGUUGGAGGGGUAACGGCCCACCAAGGCGAUGAUCAGUCGCCGGGCUGGGGGGAGGAACUGCCACAUUGGGACUGAGACACGGGCCAGACUCCUACGGGAGGCAGCAGUUGGGAAACUUCCGCAAUGGACGAAAGUCUGACGGAGCAACGCCGCGUGAUUGAUGACGGCCUUCGGGUUGUAAAGCUCUGUUAAUCGGGACGCGGUACCGGAAUAGAAAGCCACGGCUAACUACGUGCCAGCAGCCGCGGUAAUUC